rnacentral:piRNA from 1 species
AACUCAAUCACACAGGAACAAGA